rnacentral:tRNA from 1 species
GUGGCUAUGGUGUAACGGUUAACACAGCGGGUUGUGGUCCCGCUAAUCUGGGUUCAAUUCCCAGUAGCCACC